rnacentral:lncRNA from 1 species
GGCAGAGCGGGAUUCUGGCUCCUAUUCUUUCCUUGCUUCUGCAGUGGCUGGCUUUUCCCCCAAGUCAGAAACUGCGCUUCUCUCCAUGGCAAUAUUCUCGUCUGUAAAAUAGAUCCUUUCUGGUCUGACCAACUGUGGCUGUCUUGGGUCAAUAUUUGUGCUUCCCCUGAACUCUGCUCCUGAUAGGAGAAUGAGGUAGCCAAAGACUGUUUACCUGACUUCAGGUCCAGAGAUAAAGUAGUUCCCUGUGUUGAGCCUGAAUGUGAGUCAGGGACACCCAGUGUGACCUCUGCCCAAGGACCUCGAGUAGUUGGCAUCUAAUCUCUUGAGUCCUAAAUUUUUCUGUCAGCAAAGCAGAAGCGCUUAGCUUGUGUGCCUCCCUGAGUGUGGAGGAAAGCUUUGAGUAAAUUAAGCAGGAUGGAAAGUUACCCAGAUGCUGUUCCUGCGAGUGGGUCCAGCCACAAAUGACACCCUUCUCCUUUUGGGGGCACCAGGUAGUGCCGAGGCAGGAGAACCCCUGCUCAGUAAUGACACUGUCCAUCAGCACCUGACAGCCUCAUCCACCUCAGCCAGCCCAUCCCUGCCAGAGCUCUGAAGACACCAUCAAAACCCAGGAUAUUUUUCUAACCUCUCCCCACCCUCCACCCACCCCUUGUUCUUUCAGGAACAGACUCUUCUCCAGCUUUUCUAAAUUCAGAGGAAGAAAGAAAAGAGUUUCUUCCCUUUUGAUUGUGCAUGAAAAUAAACUAGUUGUCUAUUUGUCAGUUAUUUGCCCAA